rnacentral:lncRNA from 1 species
CACGUAUGGUAACGCGUGGUAACGCGUGGUAACGCGUGGUAACGCGUUGUUAAAAUUUGAAUUUGGAGCGAAAACAGGUGGCCCAUGCAUAUACAUUAAUUAAACUAAUCCGAAUGGCUAAUUUCCAGUUUGAGAACGAGGUUCUUUACAUGUUGGCGUUGUUCUUGAAUUUACAUAGUACUUUAAAAUAGAAAAAUCUUGAUUUGCGAUGGUUGCAUGAUAUUCAUUCUUCAUUAUCGAUAUAUCUUUUUCGAAUCGAAGGCAAGCUUGCGAAGGAACAUUAGUUGCCGGCAAGGUAUGGAUUUUAACUUAACUUGGACAACCUAUCGCAUAAUAUAAUACUUGUAUAUCGGCAUGUAUACUACAUGUAGUCCAAAUAUGUUAUGCAAAUUUUGUUCGUAUACAUUAACAUAAGCGCUGCGAAAGAAAAUAUUAUGCAGUAAAUAGCCAAAACCUGCGCUUGAUUUUCCCCAAUUUUCAGACAAUCGUCCACAAAAUAUUUGAGACAAACCCCCUCCCCCGAUUUCAAUGUUGUUAGGCACUACAAUAUAGUUUAAUUCCAACAUCAUAUGUUAAAUUUCAACUGCCAGUGACACAGUUGCGAUGCUAGUGUCACCUUAUGUUCGUUUUGGACAAGUACAGUAGGUUUCAACAUUGAAAUAAGGGGGGAGGGGAUCGAUUUAAAAAGUCUCAAUAUAUUUUGUGGACGAUUGUCUUAAAAAUUGAUAAGACUUAGUUAAUAGCAUCUCGAAGUUUUUUUGAAAUCACUUUGUGUGCAUGUGUAGUAGUCACUGUAGAUGAUACUAUUGGGGUUAUUGUUCACACGUAGAAUAGUACAGUGCUACCAAGUUGACCAGGGGGGGGAGAUAUAAAAGAUAUGGGGGGAGAUCCAAGAAAUAUCACUAUAUGUUUGGUAGACGAUUAUAUUAGAAAUUAAGAAAACUUAGAUGGCAGCAGCUCGAAGUUAUUUGAAAUCAUGUUAUGUGCGGCACAAUAGCUGUGGGCGGGGGGGGAUAAUUUAAUUCCCAGAGGUGUGGGGGCAAGGAUUAAAUAUUUAAGGAAUUUUUGUGAAGUAAUAGAAGCGUCUUACUAUUCACUAUAAUUUGGAUAGUAUUGUUAGGCCCAUACAAAG